GACGAACGCUGGCGGCGUGCCUAAUACAUGCAAGUUGAGCGCUGAAGGUUGGUACUUGUACCGACUGGAUGAGCAGCGAACGGGUGAGUAACGCGUGGGGAAUCUGCCUUUGAGCGGGGGACAACAUUUGGAAACGAAUGCUAAUACCGCAUAAAAACUUUAAACACAAGUUUUAAGUUUGAAAGAUGCAAUUGCAUCACUCAAAGAUGAUCCCGCGUUGUAUUAGCUAGUUGGUGAGGUAAAGGCUCACCAAGGCGAUGAUACAUAGCCGACCUGAGAGGGUGAACGCCCACAUUGGGACUGAGAACCGGCCCAAACUCCUACGGGAGGCAAAGGUAGGGAAUUUUCGGAAAUGGGAGAAAGUCUGACCGAGCAACGCCGGGUGAGUGAAGAAGGUUUUCGGAACGUAAAACUGUUUUGGAAGGGAAAAACGUGGGUGGGAGGGAAAAGCCAAACAGGUAAAGGAAACCACCCAGAAAGGAAGGGCAAAAUACGG
rnacentral:rRNA from 1 species